UCCAUUCUGCCAGGAUUCCUUGUUAAAAGAAUGCCUUAAUUCACUGGGGAAAUAUGCAUGGCUUCCUGCCAACGGUACUGAUGGGACAUUUUGGGUGGGCAAAGUAUGCGAACAAUAAACAAAAUCCUAAGAUAGUAAAUGCAGUGAAAAUAGUUGCUGCUGCUCCGUAGUGCUCCACCAAGGCAGCCCUCUGGUUCCAAACACAAACUGUUAAACAAAAGAAGGAGCAAGAGAUGGAAAAAACUCAGUUAUGCAAUACAAAAGUGGAGUAUUGAGCUGGGCAGGGGAUGUGCGAUUUGGAUAAUGAAGCAGGAGAAUGGAAAGCAAAGCUUAGCAUCUUGGAAAGAGACUGAGGAUACAGGGGGAGAAAGGAGCAGGAGGUGAUGACCAUCCCACGCUACCGGAAAUGCUGGAGGAAUAGUCCCGGCAGCCAGGAGGCCUUGCAAGGAUAAACUUCCCAUUGAAGAGUACCCACAACAGGCUGGGCUCCAGCAAGGGAACGCUACCUCGCAGAAUUGCUCCCAUGAAGAAUUUGGCAAUCCAGUACAGCUGCAUUCCCUCUUGACUCAUGUUCAGUUUGUAAUCAACCACCACUUCAAGUGAUUCUUCACAAAUGCUAUUACCAAAAAAAAAGGUGGCCUUGCGAUGUUUGUUCAACGCAACCAGAAGACAUGGCCUGAUUCAGCAGGGCCACGGGGCACCAACCGAGAACCAUUUGGAGGACCGUUACAGGAGAUCUCAUCGGCUGAGGGCUUCGCUGAGAGGAUCCAGAUUUGCCUGUGUCUAAACCAGGACCUUUUGGUGCGAUGACUUCAGAACACGAAGAAGUUGAUGUUGUGAAUGGACUAGCACUGAGUACCAAACAACAUGAGAAAGAUCAGGAGUCUGCCAAAAUCUGUACUGGAAAAGGAGCUGUGACCCUUUGGGCAUCUCCAGCUUCUGAGAAGAGUCUAAGAGUUAGCCAUCCAAAGUUUAUGCAGGAUGUCCAGCACACUGAAAUUCCUUCGGUCGAAGAGCAGGGAGGAACCAACGCAGAUGGCUGGAGAAGACUUUCUGGUCUUGACUCAAAUAGGGAGAUUCUGUCUGUGAAGGAUUACUGGAGUGUGAGACCAAACUUCUCUGAGAGCAAACCACAUGUAAGUAACUAAUAGAAAGCCUAGGUGGGUGUGAAUAAUGAGACGUGCAUGUGUUAUCUUCUUAGAUGUGCCUCUGACUUGUAAUUUUAGUAAUUUACAUUAAUAACAUAAAAUGUGGGAGCAACACCCAAGGAAUAUUACUUUUUAAAAUUGGCAUUUAAAAAACUGAACAGGAGGUUGUUUCUUGGUUGGUUUGUUUUCAUUAUUUAGUGUUUCUAAAGUGAUUUGAUAACAGUUGUCAAUCAAAUGUAUCAGGCAUGAACUCAGUUAGGAAUCCCUUCUGUACUGGGAACUUGGUCCACUGUAUUCUAGGUUGAGCUGGAAUAAGGACAAGAAUAAACUUAUGAUUUGCAUACUUUCCAAAGUAUACCUCCUGGGAGUCAUAAUCUUAAUCAUCUUAAUAACAUAUAGGAAGGCUGUGCCCAUCCUCUUUCUUUCCUUCACUAUCUCCCAAUCGUUAACCUUCUUCUAGUCUAAUUACACUGUUACUGUGAUCAAGUUUAGGCAAUUAGCUUCUACAUCUGAGUCUUGAUAAUUCAGUGAUUGUGUGGCCAAUUCUAUUUGAAUCUUUUCCCUUACAUAUUUAUGUAUUUUUUUGUUUAGACAUCUAAAUUUCUCUUGGCUUGUUUAGAUUUGGUAAUAGAAGUAUUAAUUUAUGAGAUAGGAAUGAAAAAUAGCUUGAACUGGAUGUAAUUCUAUUUUAGAUUCCUUGGGAGGAGCCAUAGUUUAUCACAUUCAGAUUUGAGAUUCACUUUUAAUCAGAUACAUCUAACUUUGUUAAGGCAUCCUUGGUUUUUCAGCUAGUUGUUAUGAAAGCAUUUUGCACUCUAUUACAUAGAAUAAUAGAAUCCUUGGGUUGGAAAGAACCCUGGUACAACCCUUCAAGGGCAGAAAUCCUCAGACCACCCUAGACAAAUGGCUGUCUAACCUCUGCUUGGAAACUCAUGGGUUGGAGCACCCAUGACUCCAGGGGUCUGUUCCAUUGCUUAAUAGAUCUCAGGGUCAGGAAAUUCCUCCUUAUUUCAUGUUUGGAUGACUGUCUGUAAAGCUUCUUAUUGUACCCUUGGGCACUACAGAGAGUAUAUUUACAACUUCUUCCUGUGAUAGCCUUUCAGUGUCUCUCCUUAGCUUUCUUUUCUUUAGGCAAAACAUACGUAGUUCCUUUAACUGUUCUUCAUGGGAUUUAGCCUCCAAGCCCCUUACUAUCUUACUUCUUCUUCUCUGCACUCUUUCUAGUUCCUCAGCAUCUUUCGGGUAUUGUGGCACAAAAACUGGACACAGUAUUCCAGGAGCAGUUUGACUAGUGCAGCAUAGAACAGAACUAUCAUGACCCAUGAUCACACUGUUUAUAACUCUGUUGAUGCAACCCAAGAUUGCAUUGGCUUUUUUGGCAGUUGUAACACACUGCUGGCUAAUGCUUAAUCUGUGGUCUACCAGGACACUCAGAUGUUUCUCACAAGUACUACUGCUUAGCCAGGUUCUGCCUAUGCUUGUACCUGUGCAACUGGUCUUUCCAACCUAAGUGCAGAACCUCACAUUUCUCUCCACUGAACAGUAUUUGUGUGGAUAGAGCCCAAUGUUCAAGUCUGUUUAGAUCCCUUGGAACCAUGAGUCUGUCUUUUAAGGUGUCAGCAAUCCCCCAACUCUGUGUCCUCUGCAGAUUUGAUGAACAUCAUUUCUAUCCCCCCAUCUAAGUCAUUUAUAAAAAAGUUGAAGAGCACUAGGCUCAGGACAGAAUCCCUCCAGGCUUUGUUUAAAUGCCUCCAGUGAAGGAAAGUCCACCCUCUCCUGAGGGUUUCAUUAUAGAAUAGCUUUUACUGUUACAACAUUUUUAUGAAAUCUCUUUCCUUGUACCUUAAGUCCAUAGUUUCUUAGUCUGCUUCUGGAACAAUUUUGUAUCUCCAUAACAGCUCUUCAGAUACUUGAAGCCAGCAUCAUGUUUCCUUGCUGUCUAAAUAUACCCAGUACUUCCAACCAUUCCUCUUAAGUUUUUCCUUCCUGCCUCUUAUCAUAUUGGUUGCUGUCCUCUAGGCUGGCCUUUCUAAAUUGUACCCAGAACUGGGCACAAUAUUCUGGGUAACUUGUAAUCAUCACAGAAUAGAGAAAAAUGUUG